CUGGUGGCCAUUGCGAGGAGCCCCAAUUCGAUCUCACUCCGAACUCGGCCGUUAAACUCCUCAGCGCCGAUGGUACUAUGUCUCAAGACCUGGGAGAGUAGGUCGCUGCCAGGC
rnacentral:rRNA from 1 species